rnacentral:lncRNA from 1 species
AUGGGCAGAAAAUCAGCCAGCUCAAGCCUGAACACAAAGUGCCUGCCAGCUUCCACGGGUGAUAUCCUCUGCUGUCUUGAGAAAGGAAUAGGAAUACGAUGCAGCAGCUCACAUUUUCCUAAACUCGUGCAGAAGAAGGCAAGCACGAGAAUGCGGGCAACGUUCGCUGAAUCAUCUUUAAAAAUUCUAGCACGACCCAAAAGAAGUGUGUUGCUUUUCCUGGAAAAAUUUGGUGUCAUCUACUCGAAUGUAAAGGUAAGUUGCAACAGAUUCUAUUUUCCUAUUCUGACUUCUUUCCAAAGAAGGGAACAUAACUCUCAGAAAAAUGCAGGUUUUUGCUGGGAUACACAUGAUUCCAUUAAAAAUCCAUUGCAGUAAUGCUUCUGUGAAAUUUGUUUAUGUAUCUUGUAAGAAAGAAAGACUUUGACGUGUACGCACAUAACCUUCCUGUCAGAAAUCACCAGGCAGAUUUUUAAAAAAUAGAGGACACAAUUUUC